CGGGUCAAAUUUUUUGACACGGGUACUCUUCCUUAGUUUUUAUUAUUCGUUGACUGAAACAUAAUAA